GCAUGGACGUCUCCUACUCUCUCUCAUCUCUAUCUCUCUCCCGUGUAAUCCGUCGGUUUCGAAUCCAAAAGCUCGUGAUAAAUCUCUUCUCUUUCUGCACUCUGCUACCCGGAAUCCAUGGAUAUCGCUACCCGGAAUCCAUGGAUAUCGCUUAUUCAUCUCUCUGUCAAGCUCACAAGGUCGCUCUCACGCGUCAAGCUUCUCCCCCGGUCAACUCCUGCUCCCACGGUUCCGUCUCCGUCAUCGGAUUCUCUCUUCCAUAGAUCAGUUCUCCGUCUCUAGCUAAAUGUCGCUGAAAACAGAGCUCUUCCGGCGCCGUUAGAGCUUGUGUUGCCGUGGAACAGAAGACACGAACUGCUAUCAUCAGAAUUGGCACACAUGGAAGGACAGUCCGUUAGCACUUGCUCAAGCGUACGAGACACGAGCAAAGCUCCAGUCAAAACACCCUGAACUCACUGAAGACGGAGCUAUCCACAUCGAGAUAAUCAAAACCACUGCUGACAAGAUCCUCUCUCAGCCGCUUGCUGAUAUUGGUGGGAAAGGGCUUUUCACCAAAGAGAUUGACGAGGCUUUAAUAAACGGUCAUAUUUGUCUGACUGCAGCUUCGUUAGCUGAGCUUCCAGCUGGAAGCGUUGUGGGAACAGCUUCUCUUAGGAGAAAGUCUCAGAUGCUCCACAAGUAUCCUUCAUUGAGUGUUGAGGACAACUGCUAUUUCAGAGGAUUGGUUGCUUCCCCUGAUGGUACUCGAGGUAUAUCUGUUGGGAAAGACGCGGGAAGGAGAAAAGGUGUAUGAAACCAAAGGAGAUUGAUGUGUUUCAACGACGACGUGGUCUUCCUUUCUCAUCCUUUAUAUUAAAACUUCAUCUCCUCUUCCCAUAUCAUCAUCAAUAUUCUCUCCUCUUAUAAUCCUCUGUUCUAAUUUGGACAAAUGGCCACGGGAAACAAAGGAAGACAACUGCCAAAGUUUGGGGAAUGGGACGCCACUAAUCCAGCCUCAGCACAAGGGUUCACCGUCAUCUUCAACCAGGCUCGUGACGACAAGAAGACCAAGAAAACAGCUAUCGCGGGACCUGAGAGUCUGGUUACAGGUCCAGAGCCUCAGAGUAAAAACAACCAUCAGAAGAAACGUAAUCCUCAACCUCCACGAGAAAAGAAGGGAUGGCUUUGUUUCCGCUAACUCGGUUGAAGAAGUCGAUGAUAAGGAAGCAGAACCAGUGAGCUGUUGCCAACUUGUCUUCUUCUUGCUUCACUUUUUUGGGGUACAAAAAUAAAUUAUAGUUUUACAUUGUUCUUGGUUCGAAUAUAUAAAGAUUGAGAUAUGUCCUUAGUAGUCAUGUAAUACAAAACUGCAUAAACGUCAUGUUAUAUGUCUGAAUACU